GUGAACGCUGGCGGUAGGCCUAACACAUGCAAGUCGAACGGCAGCACAGUAAGAGCUUGCUCUUACGGGUGGCGAGUGGCGGACGGGUGAGGAAUACAUCGGAAUCUACUUUUUCGUGGGGGAUAACGGAGGGAAACUUACGCUAAUACCGCAUACGACCUACGGGUGAAAGCAGGGGAUCUUCGGACCUUGCGCGAUUGAAUGAGCCGAUGUCGGAUUAGCUAGUUGGCGGGGUAAAGGCCCACCAAGGCGACGAUCCGUAGCUGGUCUGAGAGGAUGAUCAGCCACACUGGAACUGAGACACGGUCCAGACUCCUACGGGAGGCAGCAGUGGGGAAUAUUGGACAAUGGGCGCAAGCCUGAUCCAGCCAUACCGCGUGGGUGAAGAAGGCCUUCGGGUUGUAAAGCCCUUUUGUUGGGAAAGAAAAGCAGCAGGUUAAUACCCCGCUGUUCUGACGGUACCCAAAGAAUAAGCACCGGCUAACUUCGUG
rnacentral:rRNA from 1 species